UCUCAGUGAUGACCACACUGAUUAGAUGACCGAUUCAUUCCAUUCCAUUAAACCAUGGGGACAAAAUGAGGCAUUUGUCUGAGAGAA
rnacentral:snoRNA from 1 species